GAUGAAGAACGCAGCGAAAUGCGAUACGUAAUGUGAAUUGCAGAUUUCAGUGAAUCAUCGAAUCUUUGAACGCACAUUGCGCCCGCCAGUAUUCUGGCGGGCAUGCCUGUUCGAGCGUCAUUUCAACCAUCAAGCCUUCGCUUGUGUUGGGGCCCCGCGGCUGCCGCGGUCCCCUAAAUCCAGUGGCGGGCUCGUCGUCGUACCGAGCGCAGUAGACAUCCUCGCUCCGGGAACCCGACGGGUGCCGGCCGUGAAACCCCCCACAUCAAGGUUGACCUCGGAUCAGGUAGGAAUACCCGCUGAACUUAAGCAUAUCAAUAAGCGGAGGA
rnacentral:misc_RNA from 1 species